ACCCAAAUUUGUCCAACGGCCAUGCCAAUGUUACUGAGGAGGUGUUACCACAAGUGGCUGUUAAGAUAACAUGUAAUAAAGGUUUUGAAGUAAACGAAAUAGAUACGGCAAUUUGUCUAGAAACGGGCUCUUGGAGUGAAGUAAAUACGUGUGAGCCAGUUGACUGCGGGAUAUAUCAGCCACCUUACCAUGUUCAUACUCAACAGUCCGUACAUGAAACAACAGUUGGGUCAUCAAUUAAUCUUCAAUGUGAUCCUGGUUUCCAUUUUACAACAUCUAGUGAUAAUUCCGUAACGUGUAACGAAAAUGGCGUGUGGGUCGGUAAUCCAAAAUGUGAAAAUUUAGUUGAUUUAUCUGUAGACACCGAUACUGUCUUCAUCUUUGGAAUGGCAACCUUGUCUUGUGAAUUCAGAAAAAUACCAAACUAGAGGAAUAUAAAGUUCAAACGCAUUAACAGAAAAAGUGAAUCCGUAAUAAUUGCCUCUGUUGUCAAUAAUAUAGACUCGUACAAAGUGACUAAAGACAGUGAUAGAACUAUUAUCAUUGAAAAAACAUUUACGCAUGAAUCAGGUACAUUUAAAGUGAUGAUUGAGACCGUCAAAUGCUCCGAUGCUUUCGUAGAACCCGGUGUUAUAAACAUAACCUGUGAUAUUGAAACAAGUGAUACCGUGAACACAUUUCAUGAUGUGAAAAUUGUUCGAAUACAAGGCAAAGCGGUUAAGCCGGAGCUUUUCGUGCCAGCCCAAGUUGUCGAAGAUGAUAUCAAGUCCACACUUUUUCAUUGUGAAAUGUUGUUUCCGGAACCGAACGGUCGCGUGACAAUUGACACUGGCAAUGAUGGUUCCUUUACCACUCUGUUGUCUUCUCCAAACAUUUGAUAAUCACAAUUAUCAAUAAUCAUUAAUAUUGACCAAUCGGUUAUAAAAUUAAUCAGAUAUGAAUAAUAAUUCACUUUUUGACAGAUCUUUUAAAUCACAAUUAAUUCAUUUAUUUUUAUGUCAAAUAAGUGUUGUAAUUAUGAUAAUUUUCAAUUUCUUCAGGGAACUUCAACUCCAAUAAUUUCAGUAAUGUUUGUUAUAAAAUCAAUAUUUAUGUGCUUUUCCCGUCUUAUCUGCAUGACAUUAUUACCACAAAUCAAAUUGAUUACUAUCCCAUCAUUAAUGAACUAAUAAGAAUUUAGUCUUAUUUAUAUAUGGAAAAGGCCGAUAUUUUUUUUCACGUGAGGGGCCUUAUGUUUGGUCCUCUUCAAACGGUGUAAGCAAUACAAAUGCGGCGUGGAUUGAUACCAUAAGGUUUGACUUGGAUAAUUGCUGGUAUAGGAUGAAAAUGAAAUUUUGCCUAAAAAAUAUUUCAAUGGAAUGGUACAGGAAACAUAUUAGAUGCACUGCAAAACCGUCAGAAGAAGCAUAUGACCAAACAGUGUUCACAUCUGAC